rnacentral:rRNA from 1 species
GACGAACGCUGGCGGCGCGCUUAACACAUGCAAGUCGAACGGAAAGGCCUGCUUUUUCUUCUGGUUUGCGGGUACUCGAGUGGCGAACGGGCGAGUAACAAGUCAGUGAUUAGCCCUCAACUUGGGUAUAAGCCCGGGAAAUUGGGUCUAAUUCCCGAUAGGACUGCAGGGUUGUGUCUGUGGUGGAAGAUGUUUUUUUAGUGGUUGGUGAUGAGCCCGCGGCUUAUCAGCUUGUUGGAGCGGCAAUGUCCCACCACGGCGGCGACGGGUAGCCGGACGGGGAGUGUGGACGGCGACAUUGGGACUGGGUUACGGCCCAGACGCCUACGGGAGGCAGCAGUGGGUAAGAUUGCGCAAUGGGCGGAAGCCUGAUGCAGCGACGCCGCGAGGAAGAUGUCGGGCUUCGGGUUGUAAGCUCCUUGCGACCGCGAGAAAGCCACCUGGUUAGAAGGGUGGUGACGGUAGUGGUAGAAGAAGCACCGGCUAACUACGUG